AAAUAAAUUUGUUAGUCUCUAAGGUGCCAUAAGUACUUCUUUUCUUUUUAUUUAAGAGUUGCAACUCAGUACUUAUGCCCCACUGCUGUGAUCAACACUACUGUGUUCCUUGUUCCCAGUCUUGGCCCCACCUUGUUCUUGUCCAGCCCUGUACUUUUCUCUAGUUCCUGACUCCACCUCUGAACUUUGGUGCUGACUCCCACUUCAUGUUUCUGACUCUAACUGCUAGGUCAGAUGCCCUGUAUCAUGAUCCCUGACAACAUGUGGCAGAACACCCCAGGUUUGUGGCACUGCAGUGAACUGCACUGCCCUGAGAAUGCUUUUGCGAAGUAUUUUGAUCUGUGACCAGCUUAUGUUGAUUUUUUUAAAAUGUUUUCCAGGUUAUCUUUGCAAGGAAAAGGGCUGGAUAUUUUGUCUAAAAAUAUUAAAGGUCAGAUUUGUAUUCUCCUUUCUAGCUCCCUAAAAGAGGGAAGCCUAUGUCCACAGGCUUUGUGUAUUCAUCUUCACCAGGAAAAAAAGCUAGUUCAUGUUAGCUAACGCACAGUAAAUUCCUAGUGAAGACAAGGCAAUGUGUCAUUUUAACACAAGUUUGCAGGACAUGAAUUCAGAACACAAAUUUUUGCUGAGUGAAAACAAGGCAUAAGAGGUCCAAAAGCCAGUUCUGGAUACAAGGGGUAUGUUUACAUUGCAAUGUAAACUCCGCGUUAGUGGGACUUGAGUCAUCUGACCCUGGGUUAGAGAACCCAGGGCUUAAGCAUCUACACUGGUUGUUAACUCUAGGUUAAAAAAUUUCUAAUCCAGGCUUGAAUGUGCGGCUCUGGCAUCCACACUGCUGCAUGCAGACCCAAGUCAAACCAACCAUAUCCCAGACUCCCUAGUGCCAUCCUGAAAUGUGGCUGGAGUAGCCCUUUGACCAUGGUGCAGUGUGGGAAAACUUGACCUUCCAUUCUGCAUGCUACAGGAAGUUUGGAUAGCUGCCAACACAUCCUGCCAAGCCAUCAUUUUGGUUUGCGUGUUCCCAGCUACCAGCACCAGCAACAUGAAAGAGGUGUCUUUUAAACAACUUAUUUUGCAUGUGCUUUCACUCCUGUGUCAAGAAAAAGGCAGAGCUUCCAUGAGAUGCUAGUUGACAUUUCAGCAGUGUAUUCUGAACUAUCAAAGGCACCUGACAGAGCUAAUGAUGGAGCAAGAGGAGGAAGACGCAGAUGUGACAGACUCAAACUGGCUGAUACUGCUUAUGACGCUUGCUUGGUACAGCGGCUGAUGCCCCCCAAGUAGACUUGUGCUCCUGGAGCAGGGCCACGAGCACAGACCUGGUGGGACCAGUUAACAUUAUCAUGCAAACCUGAGAUGACCAGCAGUGGGUCCAGAACUUUUGCAUGAAAAAAGCUACAUCUCUGGAGCUCUGUGAGUAGCUUGCCCCAAGCCUCCAGCAUAAAGACAAAAAUGUGAGGGUGACCAUUGUGAUCCAGAAGCAGGUUACUAUACUGUCUGGAAGCUGGCUACCCCAGACUGCUACAGAUUGAAAUCCUGUUGGAGAUGUCUACAGACCCAUUAGGAUUCCAGUGUCAUCAAUGCUGUCCGCCUUACUGUGGCUUGCUGUACUCUUCACAAUCUUUGUGAAGCCAGAGGUGAGCCCCUUUCUGCUGAAUGGACCCAUGACCAUGAGGGGCCACUGAAUUGGUACACUCAGUCAGAAAGUCCACCUAGCACAGCUGGAGCUAGAUGCACCUGGGCAAUAGAAGUAAGGGAUGCUUUGUGCUCCCACAUUAUGGACUUGCAUGGCCUAAUGGAAGUGGGGGAAAUAGUAUCUUUAUGAAUGUGUUUGUGCGACAUGGAGAUGGGCUCAUUGAUUGUAGUGGGUUUCAAUUCUUGGGGAGGUGGGUGUUGAUUGCCAUGCAAUGUACUUAUAAAUGACAUGAUCACUUCUGAAAAGGGAGGAUGGUGUGAAUCAUAGUAAAGAUUGAUGUAGAUCAGCAGUUCUCAAACUAUGGGGCGGGCCUGCCUCGGGAGAUGUGGGAAUUUGACAAAUAUCACUUUCCACAUUGCCAUCCUUCCUUCUGUGCUUCUGCUGGCACGGUGCUGCCUUCAGAGCUGGGCGCUCAGCCGGCAGUCACUGCUCUCCACUUUGCCUUUGCAGCUGGGUGGCAGUAUAUGUACUUGGGGGGCGCGUAAAUGAUUACAGAUACAAAGAGGGGGGGCCUGAUCAAAUAAGUUUGAGAACCACUGAUGUAGAUAAACAUAUUGAGAAACAGUGUUUGCAUACUAAUUCCUAAUUGUCCCUGACCAUGUGUUCACUUUUAUUAUUUUAAAUACAGAUUGUAUGACGUGAUACAGUGAUAAACUUUAUUGAUUAAUUAAAAAAAAAUUUAUAAAUAUGUAUUAGAAAAAUACAACAUUAAACCACUGCCAGGCAGGCCAGCUGACAUUACCACACUAAAAACACCAGUAACAACAGUACUCUUUAAAAAAACAAAAGAGAAAAACAAAGUGCAUGAAUAAAUGCAAACAGUGAAAUCAGGUACAAGACAGAAACACCCUACCAUUGCAUGUCCCCUGCCCCUGUUCUUUUUUCCUUUCUUUCCCCAUUUGUCGAGCACUUGGUGCUCAGGUUGGGGUGGCGGCAUGGGGUAAAGUUGCUCUGCCCAGCCACUCCUGGGGUUUGAUUGUAUGGGCAACCCAGCCAUGGAGUUUUCCAAGCUGUUUCUGGAAUGCAUCACAUCCUACCACACAGGGGACUUGGAUGACGCAGCAGGAGCUGACAUUCUUGCAGCCAUUAGUGAUAUCAGCUGCUCAAACAGCUCUUUCUGCUGAGCGCUGAGCUCCUCCCUUAACUGCCACUCCUGUUCCAGGAGCUGUGAAACCCCAUCCUCAAGGUGUGCAGCCAGCCUGAGUCUUUCCUUUUGUCUCUCCUCUAGCCACCAGUAUCUUUCUCUUUGGUACUGGACCAGCUUGUUGGCCUAGUCCAGAACUUCAACUAUAAAUUCAUCAUGGAAAUGCUUCCUCUUGGAAUGGUCCAUGAAGGUAAGUUGGGCAAGGCUUCUGCUGCAGUGUGGGUGAGCUGUGGAAGUACUACAGCCAGUAGAGGUCGAGGGGCCUGGAACAGACAAAACACAGAGGGCUAUUAUCUCAACUAGCUCAGUGCAGGAGCAUGGAAAAAAUCUGUGUGGAAUGUCAAGGACAAAAUGUUAGUUUUCCAAACUGAACCUCAGUAUAUUGUGAGAAAAUAACAUUUUCUUUAUAGUUUGUGGCUAGUAGAGAGAAGGCUCCAACCAGCAAGUAAAAGAAAGCCCUUAGAAUAAUAAGUAGUAUUAUAAGUAGUGGGGAAGGACAUAUGAAGGAUGUAACUAAUAAAAUAAAGAGAUGCAGUAACAAGACAAAGAAAAACUGCCU